AACGCGAAGAACCUUACCUGGUCUUGACAUUGUAAGAACUUUCCAGAGAUGGAGUGGUUGCCUUCGGGAACUUACAUACAGGUGCUGCAUGGCUGUCUUCAGCUCGUGUCGUGAGAUGUUGGGUUAAGUCCCGCAACGAGCGCUACCCUUUUCCUUAUUUGCCAGCGGGUUAAGCCGGGAACUUUAAGGAUACUGCCAGUGACAAACUGGAGGAAGGCGGGGGCGRCGUUCAGCCAUCAUGGCCCUUACGACCAGGGCUACACACGUGCUACAAUGGUCGGUACAAAGGGUUGCUACCUAGCGAUAGGAUGCUAAUCUCAAAAAGCCGAUCGUAGUCCGGAUUGGAGUCUGCAACUCGACUCCAUGAAGUCGGAAUCGCUAGUAAUCGCGGAUCAUAAGGCCGCGGUGAAUACGUUCCCGGGCCUUGUACACACCGCCCGU
rnacentral:rRNA from 1 species